rnacentral:rRNA from 1 species
AACGAACGCUGGCGGCGCGUCUUAAGCAUGCAAGUCGAACGGCAAGAGAGGAGCUUGCUUCUCUCCUAGAGUGGCGGACUGGUGAGGAACGCGUGGGUAAUCUACCCUUAAGAUGGGGAUAGCCGCUAGAAAUAGCGGGUAAUACCGAAUAGACUUAUAGCUGAGAAAGAAGUGAUAAGGAAAGGAAGCUAAGGCUUCGCUUAAGGAUGAGCCUGCGUCCCAUUAGCUAGUUGGUAAGGUAACGGCCUACCAAGGCGACGAUGGGUAUCCGGCCUGAGAGGGUGAACGGACACAUUGGGACUGAGAUACGGCCCAAACUCCUACGGGAGGCAGCAGCUAAGAAUAUUCCGCAAUGGACGGAAGUCUGACGGAGCGACACCGCGUGGAUGAAGAAGGCUGAAAAGUUGUAAAUUCUUUUGCUGAUGAAGAAUAAAGAUAAGAGGGAACGCUUAUCAGAUGACGGUAGUCGGCGAAUAAGCCCCG